GCCUUCUUAGCUCAGUGGUAGAGCAGUGUAUUUGUAAUGCACUGGUCGUCGGUUCAAAUCCGACAGAAGGCU
rnacentral:tRNA from 1 species